UUUAACGGCCACGGUAUCCUAACCGUGCGAAGGUAGCAUAAUCACUUGCUCUUUAAAUAGGGGCUAGUAUCAACGGCAUCACGAGAAUCAUACUGUCUCCUCCCCCUAAUCAGUGAAACUGAUCCCCCCGUGAAGAGGCGGGGAUAAAAAUAUAAGACGAGAAGACCCCAUGGAGCUUUAAACCCUCAGUAACUUAGUUACAUACUUCCCCACAACUGCAAAGUGUACCCAAAGGUUUUAGGCUGGGGUGACCGCGGAGUAAAAACCAUCCUCCACGAUGUAAUAUCUAUGAAUCACCUUUCUAAGAAUUGAAACUUUAACAUAUAAUGACCCGAUAAUCGAUCAACGGACCAAGUUACCCUGGGGAUAACAGCGCAAUCUACUUCAAGAGCCCAUAUCGACAAGUAGGCUUACGACCUCGAUGUUGGAUCAGGGCACCCCAGCGGUGCAGCCGCUGCUAACGG
rnacentral:rRNA from 1 species